UUCUCUAUAGAGGGAAUCCAAAUGGCCCUCUAUUCUCUAUAUAGGGAAUCCAAACUCCUAAAGGGUUAGGGGUUAGGGGUUAGGGACCGACUCCUAAAGGGGAAUUGUAGACUACCAAAGGAAAGGGUAUAUUUUUAUUUUCAUAAUUGUUGAUCAUUUUCUUAUGUAUUAUUUUUUUUUACAAAUUAUAUUUCAAUAAAGAGCAUCGUCUGU